AACAAAGAGAGAAAGAAGCCUAUCUCAUGCUCUUCUCUCCAGGAGAAAUUAUUGAAUUAUUUAUCCUGAACCCACAAUCUCAUGGUUAUACUUACAGGAUAAAAAUAUAUGUAUAUAUCUUAAGUCCCUCUCUCAUACCCUGAGAGAAUGUGGUUACCACCUACCUCUACAAUCUUGUCUCACGUCCCCAUUCCACAUCUAGAGGUGUGAGCCCUUCAUCUCCAUCAAGACCUUGCCCCUUGGUCCCCUCACAAGUAGAUGCUCAGUUCUACAUCCUGCCUUCAAGUUGCUAGUGUACCCUCUGGAAUGUUCUGCUCAGUCAUCUAAACUCUAUCCACUUUCCAAAGCCUGUUUCAAGUCAGGCUUCCUCCACGCAGCCCCUCUGACUUUCCCACAUGCCUGUGCUUUUAGGAUCUCCAUUAAGAAUGUGAAAAGGCACAUUGAACAGACAUGCUCCUCUUGGUCUGAUGUUCUUUCCAAGUGAGGAUCUUUGAAGCAGAAGAGGAUGGGAUGAGUAGAACUAGGCUGGAAGAAUCUGAGCUCAGGUCAAUAGGACUUGUAGCACUGAGUAGAUGGGGACUUCUGCUUUAGCUGUGGGUAGGGUAGUGUGGCUGGAUUAAUCAAACCCAUGUAGGGCCAUGUGGGGCAUGACCCUCAGGAG
rnacentral:lncRNA from 1 species